UACGUAGGGUGCAGGCGUUAAUCGGAAUUACUGGGCGUAAAGCGUGCGCAGGCGGGUUGCUAAGACAGGUGUGAAAUCCCCGGGCUUAACCUGGGAACUGCGCUUGUAACUGGCAAGCUGGAGUGUGGCAGAGGGGGGUGGAAUUCCACGCGUAGCAGUGAAAUGCGUAGAGAUGUGGAGGAACACCGAUGGCGAAGGCAGCCCCCUGGGCUAACACUGACGCUCAUGCACGAAAGCGUGGGGAGCAAACAGG
rnacentral:rRNA from 1 species